GUCACGAUAGCUCAAGCGGUUAGAGCAGCGGCUUAUUAGCCGAAGGUCGUGGGUUCGAAUCCCGCUCGUGACA
rnacentral:tRNA from 13 species